rfam:Triticum aestivum genome assembly, contig: Triticum_aestivum_CS42_TGACv1_scaffold_514125_6BS
UGUGUACUCCCUCCGUUCCAAAAUACUUGACUUCCAUUUGUCCAAAAAUGGAUGUACCUAUAUACUAAAACAUGUCUAGAUACAUCUAUAUUUUGACAAAUAGAAGGCAUGUAUUGUGGAAUGGAGGGAGUAGAAU